CCUACGGGUGGCAGCAGUCGGGAAUAUUGCGCAAUGGACGAAACUCUGACGCAGUGACGCCGCGUGCAGGAAGAAGGUUUUCGGAUUGUAAACUGCUUUAGACAGGGAAGAAAAAAGACAGUACCUGUAGAAUAAGAACCGGCCAACUACGUGCCAGCAGCCGCGGUAAUACGCAGGGAGCAAGCGUUAUCCGGAUUUAUUGGGGGUAAAGGGUGCGUAGGCGGGGAAGCAAGUUAGUUGUGAAAUCCCUCGGUGUAACGGAGGAACUGCAACUAAAACUGGUUGCCUUGAGUACUGGAGAGGAAAGCGGAAUGCAUGGUGUAGCGGUGAAAUGCGUAGAGAUUAGGAAGAACACCAGUGGCGAAGGCGACUUUC
rnacentral:rRNA from 1 species